UGGGGAAUUUUGGGCAAUGGGGGAAACCCUGACCCAGCAACGCCGCGUGAAGGAUGAAGUAUUUCGGUAUGUAAACUUCGAAAGAAUAGGAAGAAUAAAUGACGGUACUAUUUAUAAGGUCCGGCUAACUACGUGCCAGCAGCCGCGGUAAUACGUAGGGACCAAGCGUUGUUCGGAUUUACUGGGCGUAAAGGGCGCGUAGGCGGUGUGUCAAGUCAGUUGUGAAAUCUCCGAGCUUAACUCGGAACGGCCAACUGAUACUGUCACACUAGAGUACAGAAGGGGCAAUCGGAAUUCUUGGUGUAGCGGUGAAAUGCGUAGAUAUCAAGAGGAACACCUGAGGCGAAGGCGGGUUGCUGGGCUGAUACUGACGCUGAGGCGCGAAAGCUAGGGUAGCAAACGGGAUUAGAUACCCACGUAGUCCCUGAGCGGGCUGGCAAGGCGCAU
rnacentral:rRNA from 1 species